UACGAAGGGGGCUAGCGUUGCUCGGAAUUACUGGGCGUAAAGGGCGCGUAGGCGGAUAGUUUAGUCAGAGGUAAAAGCCCAGGGCUCAACCUUGGAACUGCCUUUGAUACUGGCUAUCUUGAGUUCGGGAGAGGUGAGUGGAAUGCCGAGUGUAGGGGUGAAAUUCGUAGAUAUUCGGCGGAACACCAGUGGCGAAGGCGACUCACUGGCCCGAUACUGACGCUGAGGCGCGAAAGCGUGGGGAGCAAACAGG
rnacentral:rRNA from 1 species